CAGGGUGACCCGAAGUACACCGCCAGUACGGUUAGAUUCAUUGUGAAAAGUGGACAUACAUUAGACCUAAACCCCCUGACAAGGAAUGGCAGUCCUCUAGAGUGAGUGAGUCACACUUCGAAAAAGAUAGAUGGCAGGAGGUGUGGUUUUAGCUCACCUGGUCAUCUGCUCAGCGUGUAUCAUCGUCCAUGGAUAUUUUGCAGCUAAACUUAAUAUAGGGGUGCCACCGGCAUGGAGGGAGGUGGUGAACAGCUACAGCGUCACCAAACUGAAGUUUUAUGACAUCUCCUCGAAUAAGAUUCAAGGCACCUACGCA